UAGCCUGUAAUUCUGCACUUAGCUAUUCAAAUGCCGGGUUUUACCACAGAAUAUUAUAUUUUACAGAUGAUCGCAUGCAUUAGAUAGUAAGAAACUAUAAGAAUAGCGGAUACUGUGCGGUUUGAAUCAUGAGCGAGGAGGAAGAAGCUGUGCCGAAAAUAAGAUCGGCGUUUGAAGACCUGUGUCGAGCUCUGAACAUGGACGAGGAGGCGAGUAACGGGGCAUGGAAGAGCUAUGAGAAUAUCAGCAAAAACUAUACUCUUGAGGGCAGUGAACUACACUGGCUGGCAUGUGCCCUAUAUGUUUCCUGCAGAACGUCAGUGCCUACUGUGGGUAAAGGCAUAGCUGAAGGAAAUUAUGUGUCUCUCACACGGAUUUUACACUCUACACAACAGAGCUUAAUUGAGUUUUUCAGCAAAAUGAAGAAAUGGCAGGAUAUGGCCAACUUGCCAAAGGAAUUCCGGCAGAGUACAGAAAAGCUGGAGAGGAACUUUACUGUGACAUCUGUCAUUUUUAAGAAAUACGUCCCUAUUUUCAAAGACAUAUUUAAACCCCCCUCUGAGGAACCCCCUAGAGCUCACAGAGGCAGGAAACAAAGGCGACACCCCUGCACCGUUGCUGAGCUCUUCCACUUCUGCUGGGUCCUGUUUGUGCAUGCAAAAGGAAACUUUCCCAUGAUCAGUGAUGACCUGGUAAACUCCUAUCACCUUUUGCUCUGUGCACUUGACCUGGUUUACUCCAACGCUUUACUCUGCUCCAGCCGCAAAGAUCUGCUCAACCCUUCCUUCAAAGAAGGUAUUAGCAGUAAGGACUAUAAGCCAGGUGCAGGGCCGAUCUGCUUUAUAGAGCAGCUUUGUGAACUGCACGAUGGGCUUGUACUUGAGGCUAAAGGAGUAAAGGAACACUUCUGGAAGCCCUUUAUCAAGAAGCUGUUCGAGCGCAAGAUUUUAAAAGGAAAAGAAGAGACACUUACAGGAUUUUUGGAUCCUGCUCAUUUUGGGGACAGUCUGACAUCUCUAUACCGAGCAUACGAGGAGCACAUCCUGUCAUCAGGAGCUCUGGAUGAGCGAAUAUUUUUGGAAGAGGCAAUGAAAGAGGAUAUUGGUACCCCAGCAACAUGUCUGUGUGAAGGAAUGGAGAAUAAGGAUCGUCCUGCCAACAUUCUGCACAAAUCUCUUAGUGCAUCUGCUCUGAAAGUGUCCACUCCACUGACAGGCAGGGCGUAUUUACAGGAGAGUGGGACCAGCACUCCAGUGUCCAGAACAAUGCAAGGUGUUGCACGUCUGCACAGUCUCCUAGCAGGACUCAAACAUGGACCGAGCCAGAGACUCAGAGACACGCUUAAGGCCUGUGCAAGAAACCCCAGUGAGGCCAUUGCUGACAGACUGAAGGAGAUGUCUGAAACCUUUCUCAAGACCUACGAAACUAAAGGGGAUGAAAAUAAAAGCCUUGCAAGAGAUCUUGCAGUAAAAUACUUUUGCCUGGCUGAGGCACUCUACUACAAAACUCUGGAAGGCAUCAUUGAUCAGGAGAAGAGAAGACUUGGAGAUAGUGACCUUUCUUGUAUUCUAGAGCAAGACAUGUUUCACCGUUCUCUGAUAGCCUGCUGUUUGGAAAUUGUAAUGUUCUCCUACCACCCACCUGGUGAAUUCCAGCGGGUCCUGCAGAUUUUUGACAUUCCGCCUUACCACUUUUACAAGGAAACCGGAGCUCCUGGAGGAAACCCAUGCAGACACGGGGAGAACAUGCAAACUUUACACAGAAAGGACCCAGACCGCCCCACCUAUAUAUGAUGAUAUUCUGGACAGGGCAGAUAGAUGGAUGGAUGGAUGGAUGGAUGGAUGGAUAGAUACCGAAGGACAUUAAAGCCCCAGUAGCAUAAUACAACAAAUAAUUAACAGUACAGAAAAAGAACGGUAGUUACUCAUUACACAAGAUUCAUCAGUCAUGCAGAACAUGCAAACUCCACACAGAAAGGACCCAGACCGCCCCACCUGAGGAUCGAACCCAGGACCUUCUUGCUGUGAGGCGACAGUGCUACCCACUUUGCCACCGUGCCGCCUCUGUAUAGUUAGUGUAAUGUUACUACAAAGGUUGGGACUGUGUGUACAUGAACUAAGUCAGAACAAGCCUGUAUUUGGAGAUAUAGGUACUUUAGAACUGAUUUGGAUUGUGUUCUGACUGUCCAGGAGGCUAGGUUUUAAAAUGUUAUAAAGGUCAGUCUUUUUUACCUA